rnacentral:rRNA from 1 species
CUACGGGGCGCAGCAGUGAGGAAUAUUGCACAAUGGGGGGAACCCUGAUGCAGCAACGCCGCGUGGAGGAUGACGCAUUUCGGUGUGUAAACUCCUUUUAUAUGUCAAGAAAAUGACGGUAGCAUAUGAAUAAGCACCGGCUAACUCCGUGCCAGCAGCCGCGGUAAUACGGAGGGUGCAAGCGUUACUCGGAAUCACUGGGCGUAAAGGACGCGUAGGCGGGUUGGAAAGUCAGGUGUGAAAUCCUACAGCUUAACUGUAGAACUGCACUUGAAACUGCUAAUCUAGAGUAUGGGAGGGGGAGAUGGAAUUAGUGGUGUAGGGGUAAAAUCCGUAGAUAUCACUAGGAAUACCAAAAGCGAAGGCGAUCUCCUGGAACAUUACUGACGCUAAGGCGCGAAAGCGUGGGGAGCAAACAGGAUUAGAUACCCGGGUAGUC